rnacentral:rRNA from 1 species
GACGAACGCUGGCGGCGUGCCUAAUACAUGCAAGUCGAACGCAGUUGCGAACGGGUGAGUAACGCGUAGGUAACUGCCUCAUAGCGGGGGGUAACUAUGGGAAACGAUAGCUAAUACCGCAUAAUGUGAGUUGGACCUGCGUUGUAUUAGGUAGUUGGGUAGGUAAAGGCUCACCAAGGCGAAGAUACAUAGCCGACCUGAGAGGGGGAUCGGCCCCACUGGGACGGAGACACGGCCCAGACUCCGUCGGGAGGCAGCAGUAGGGACGCUUCGGCAAUGGACGGAAGUCUGACCGAGCAACGCCGAGUGAUGUAAUAAGGUUGUCGGAUCUGAAAGCGCUGUUGUUAGAGAAGCGGGAACUAACCAGAAAGGGACGGCUAACUACGUGCCAGCCGCCGCGGUAAUUC